rnacentral:rRNA from 1 species
AUUGCACGCUGGCGGCAGGCCUAACACAUGCAAGUCGAACGAGUGGCGGACGGGUGAGUAACACGUGGGAACCUACCCAUCCGAGGGGGAUAACACUUGGAAACAGGUGCUAAUACCGCCUAUUGUUGUAUGGACCCGCGGUGCAUUAGCUAGUUGGUGGGUUAACGGCUCACCAAGGCGACUAUCCCUAGCUGGUCUGAGAGGAUGACCAGCCACACGGGAACUGAGACACGGUCCAGACUCCUACGGGAGGCAGCAGUGGGGAAUAUUGCACAAUGGGCGCAAGCCUGAUGCAGCCAUGCCGCGUGUAUGAAGAAGGCCUUCGGGUUGUAAAGUACUUUCAGCGGGGAGGCGUUACCCGCAGAAGAAGCACCGGCUAACUCCGUGCCAGCAGCCGCGGUAAUAC